rnacentral:rRNA from 1 species
UCUUGAAGCACGGACCAAGGAGUCUAACAUGUACGCGAGUCAUUGGGACCGCACUAAACCUAAAGGCGAAAUGAAAGUAAAGGUCGCGGCGCAAGCCCGGCCCACAGAGGGGAGACGGCCGCGCGCCGAGAGGCCGCGGCCAGCAUCCCCGGGGCGUCUCGUUGUCAUUGCGACACAGUAGGCGCACCCAGAGCGUACACGUUGGGACCCGAAAGAUGGUGAACUAUGCCUGGUCAGGUCGAAGUCAGGGGAAACCUGGCACUCGGAGUCUGUACAGAGUGUUGUCGCGACUCGUUCGUGCACACACCAUCAGUCUCAUCUGGUAAAGCGAAUGAUUAGAGGCCUUGGGGCCGAAACGACCUCAACCUAUUCUCAAACUUUAAAUGGGUGAGAAAGACGACUUGCUUAAAGGCAUGAAGUCGAAAGAGCGGAUGAACGAGUGCCAAGUGGGCCAUUUUUGGUAAGCAGAACUGGUGCUGUGGGAUGAACCAAACGUCGAGUUAAGGCGCCUAAAACGAUGCUCAUGGGAUACCAUGAAAGGCGUUGGUUGCUUAAGACAGCAGGACGGUGGCCAUGGCGAUGUUGAUGUGCAGUCGAAUAAGCUAUUGGCGGAGAAUGUCAUAGAAAGCUUGACCACAUCGGGCGAAAGGGAAUCCGUUUCCUAUUACGGAACCCAGAUGCGGAACCGACCAUGCGGGCCAAUGCGAAACCGCGACUCUCCGUACGUACCGCCCGCCCCGUCGCCUCGCGCGUCGGACGCGGGAAACGGCGUGCGCGUCGCGCGUCUAGCAACUCGUCGGGGUAACCCAAAGGGACCCGGAGACGCCGCCGGACGAUCGAGGCAGAGUUUUCUGUUCUGCAUAAGCAUUCGAGUUCCCUGGAAUCGCCUAGCGCGGAGAUAGGGUUUGGAAUGCGAAGAGCACCGCACUUGCGGCGGUGUCUCGAUCUGUCUCGCGGACCUUGAAAAUCCGGGAGAGGGCCACGUGGAGGUGUCGCACUGGAUCGUACCCAUAUCCGCAGCAGGUCUCCAA